rnacentral:rRNA from 1 species
UACGAAGGGGGCUAGCGUUGCUCGGAAUGACUGGGCGUAAAGGGCGCGUAGGCGGUUCAUCCAGUCAGAUGUGAAAUUCCCGGGCUUAACCUGGGGGCUGCAUUUGAUACGUGUGGGCUUGAGUGAGGAAGAGGGUUGUGGAAUUCCCAGUGUAGAGGUGAAAUUCGUAGAUAUUCGCAAGAACACCAGUGGCGAAGGCGGCUCACUGGCCCGAUACUGACGCUGAGGCACGAAAGCGUGGGGAGCAAACAGG